GGCUCAGGACGAACGCUGGCGGCGUGCCUAAUACAUGCAAGUCGAGCGGAAAUUUAUUGGUGCUUGCACCUUAAAAUUUAGCGGCGGACGGGUGAGUAACACGUGGGUAACCUACCUUAUAGAUUGGGAUAACUCCGGGAAACCGGGGCUAAUACCGAAUAACACUUUUUAACACAUGUUUUAAAGUUGAAAGACGGUCUUGCUGUCACUGUAAGAUGGACCCGCGGCGCAUUAGCUAGUUGGUGAGGUAACGGCUCACCAAGGCAACGAUGCGUAGCCGACCUGAGAGGGUGAUCGGCCACACUGGGACUGAGACACGGCCCAGACUCCUACGGGAGGCAGCAGUAGGGAAUCUUCCACAAUGGACGAAAGUCUGAUGGAGCAACGCCGCCGUGAGUGAAGAAGGAUUUCGGUUACGUAAAACUCUGUUGCAAGGGAAGAACAAGUAGCGUAGUAACUGGCGCUACCUUGACGGUACCUUGUUAGAAGCCACGGCUAACUACGUGCCAGCCGCCGC
rnacentral:rRNA from 1 species